GACGAACGCUGGCGGCGUGCUUAACACAUGCAAGUCGAACGGAAAGGCCCUGCUUUUGUGGGGUGCUCGAGUGGCGAACGGGGGAGUAACACGUGAGUAACCUGCCCUUGACUUUGGGGUAACUUCAGGAAACUGGGGCUAAUACCGCAUAGGAGUUCCUGCUGCAUGGUGGGGGCUGGAAAGUUUCGGCGGUUGGGGAUGGACUCGCGGCUUAUCAGCUUGUUGGUGGGGUAGUGGCUUACCAAGGCUUGGACGGGUAGCCGGCCUGGGAGGGGGACCGGCCACGCUGGGACUGAAAUGCGGCACAGACUAGAACGGGAGGCAGCGGUGGAGAGUGGAGUACUAUGGGCGGAGGCAUGAUGCGGCAACGCCGCGUGCGGGAUGACGGCCAUGGGGUAGGGUUCCACUUUCGCCUGUGACGAGGCGUGAGUGACGGUAAUGGGUAAAGAAGCACCGGCUAACUACGUG
rnacentral:rRNA from 1 species